GGGGUUUUGUGUUGUGAUUACAAAUUUUGAAGUAAUGUAUUUCAAUGGGAAGCCUCUUUUGUGAUCACAGAACAAUGAUGGUAGCAAGUACUAUUGAAAAGCCAAAAUCUGCGGAAGGAGGUUGGUCGGGGUGGUGGAUGGGUCAAACUACACAGGACUUUCACCC